AACGAACGCUGGCGGCAUGCCUAACACAUGCGAGUCGAACGAGACCUUCGGGUCUAGUGGCGCACGGGUGCGUAACGCGUGGGAACCUGCCCUUAGGUUCGGAAUAACUCCCCGAAAGGGGUGAUAAUACCGGAUAAUGUCUUCGGACCAAAGAUUUAUCGCCUUUGGAUGGGCCCGCGUUGGAUUAGCUAGUUGGUAGGGUAAAAGCCUACCAAGGCGACGAUCCAUAGCUGGUCUGAGAGGAUGAUCAGCCACACUGGGACUGAGACACGGCCCAGACUCCUACGGGAGGGAGGAGUGGUGAAUAUUGGACAAUGGGCCAAAUGCUGAUCCAACAAUGCCCGUAGAAUUAUGAAGGCCGUAAGGUUGUAAAGCUCUUUUACCCGGGAUGAUAAUGACAGUACCGGGAGAAAAAGCUCCGGCUAACUCCGUG
rnacentral:rRNA from 1 species